GUGAACCAGUACCGUGAGGGAAAGGCGAAAAGAACCCCGGCGAGGGGAGUGAAAAAGAACCUGAAACCGUGUACGUACAAGCAGUGGGAGCACAGGUUUACCUGUGUGACUGCGUACCUUUUGUAUAAUGGGUCAGCGACUUAUAUUCUGUAGCAAGGUUAACCGAAUAGGGGAGCCGGAGGGAAACCGAGUCUUAAUUGGGCGUUAAGUUGCAGGGUAUAGACCCGAAACCCGGUGAUCUAGCCAUGGGCAGGUUGAAGGUUGGGUAACACUAACUGGAGGACCGAACCGACUAAUGUUGAAAAAUUAGCGGAUGACCUGUGGCUGGGGGUGAAAGGCCAAUCAAACCGGGAGAUAGCUGGUUCUCCCCGAAAGCUAUUUAGGUAGCGCCUCGUGAAUUCAUCUCCGGGGGUAGAGCACUGUUUCGGCUAGGGGGCCAUCCCGGCUUACCAACCCGAUGCAAACUGCGAAUACCGGAGAAUGUUAUCACGGGAGACACACGGCGGGUGCUAACGUCCGUCGUGAAGAGGGAAACAACCCAGACCGCCAGCUAAGGUCCCAAAGUCAUGGUUAAGUGGGAAACGAUGUGGGAAGGCCCAGACAGCCAGGAUGUUGGCUUAGAAGCAGCCAUCAUUUAAAGAAAGCGUAAUAGCUCACUGGUCGAGUCGGCCUGCGCGGAAGAUGUAACGGGGCUAAACCAUGCACCGAAGCUGCGGCAGCGACACUCAGGUGUUGUUGGGUAGGGGAGCGUUCUGUAAGCCUGUGAAGGUGGCCUGUGAGGGUUGCUGGAGGUAUCAGAAGUGCGAAUGCUGACAUAAGUAACGAUAAAGCGGGUGAAAAGCCCGCUCGCCGGAAGACCAAGGGUUCCUGUCCAACGUUAAUCGGGGCAGGGUGAGUCGACCCCUAAGGCGAGGCCGAAAGGCGUAGUCGAUGGGAAACGGGUUAAUAUUCCCGUACUUGGUGUUACUGCGAAGGGGGGACGGAGAAGGCUAUGUUGGCCGGGCGACGGUUGUCCCGGUUUAAGCGUGUAGGUGUGUGUUCCAGGUAAAUCCGGUUCACUUUAACACUGAGGCGUGAUGACGAGGCACUACGGUGCUGAAGCAACAAAUGCCCUGCUUCCAGGAAAAGCCUCUAAGCAUCAGGUAACAUCAAAUCGUACCCCAAACCGA
rnacentral:rRNA from 1 species